rnacentral:tRNA from 1 species
CAGUAGCUCAGUCGGAUAGAGCAUCGGAUUUCUAAUCCGGCGGUCGCAGGUUCGAAUCCUGCCUGG